AGAGUUUGAUCCUGGCUCAGGACGAACGCUGGCGGCGCGCUUAACACAUGCAAGUCGAGCGAGAACCUUUCCUUCGGGAUUGGGGACAGCGGCGAACGGGUGAGUAACACGUGGGUAAUCUGCCCUUGACAUCGGGAUAGCCCGGGGAAACCCGGAUUAAUACCGAAUAGCCUCCGGAGCCUUCGGGCGCCGGAGAAAAGGUAGCUUCGGCCUCUGGUCAAGGAUGAGCCCGCGGUGGAUUAGCCUGUUGGCGGGGUAACGGCCCACCAAGGCGACGAUCCAUAGCUGGUCUGAGAGGACGAUCAGCCACACUGGGACUGAGACACGGCCCAGACUCCUACGGGAGGCAGCAGUGGGGAAUCUUGCGCAAAUGCGGGAAACCGUGACGCAGCGACGCCGCGUGGGGGAAGAAGGCCUUCGGGUUGUAAACCUCUUUCAGGAGGGACGAAGCUACUCGGGUUAAUAGCCCAGAGGGUGACGGUACCUUCAGAAGAAGCCCCGGCUAACUACGUGCCAGCAGCCGCGGUA
rnacentral:rRNA from 1 species